rnacentral:rRNA from 1 species
ACGGUUGUCGCUGGCCUCUUGCAGGGGGCAUGUGCACGCUGUCGUUCUUUUAUUCUGUCCCUCACACCUCUGUGCACCUUCCAUGGGAUCCCAGGUGUGCCCGCUGUUGUCGGGUGUUCCCGCGUCUCAUGUGUUCUUAACACACACCUCUGUCUGUUUGAGAAUGUCAACUUGUGUUGUGCAUGCAUUAAUGUACGUACAAAAUACAACUUUCAACAACGGAUCUCUUGGCUCUCGCAUCGAUGAAGAACGCAGCGAAAUGCGAUAAGUAAUGUGAAUUGCAGAAUUCAGUGAAUCAUCGAAUCUUUGAACGCACCUUGCGCUCCUUGGUAUUCCGAGGAGCAUGCCUGUUUGAGUGUCAUGGUAUUCUCAACCCCCCUCAUGCUUUUCGUAGUGUGGAGGGUGGGCUUGGACUUGGAGGUUUCAUGCCGACCGCGCUUGCUCGUGGCUGGCUCCUCUGAAAUGCAUCAGCUUGAACGUGUCGGGCGCGAGUGCGACACACCAGGCAUGGUUUCAGCGUGAUAAACAUCUGCGCUGUUCUCAUGGCUGUUUCGGGCUUCCACAACCCCCUCUCUUCUGAACAUCUGACCUCAAAUCAGGUAGGACUACCCGCUGAACUUAAGCAUAUCAAUAAGCGGAGGAAAAGAAACUAACAAGGAUUCCCCUAGUAACUGCGAGUGAAGCGGGAAAAGCUCAAAUUUAAAAUCUGGCAGCUCUGGCUGUCCGAGUUGUAGUCUGGAGAAGCGCUUUCUGUGCUGGACCAUGUACAAGUCUCUUGGAAUAGAGCGUCGUAGAGGGUGAGAAUCCYGUCUUUGACAUGGACUCCCAGUACUGUGUGAUGCGCUCUCAAAGAGUCGAGUUGUUUGGGAAUGCAGCUCAAAAUGGGUGGUAAAUUCCAUCUAAAGCUAAAUAUUGGCGAGAGACCGAUAGCGAACAAGUACCGUGAGGGAAAGAUGAAAAGCACUUUGGAAAGAGAGUUAAACAGUACGUGAAAUUGUUGAAAGGGAAACGCUUGAAGUCAGUCGCGUCCGCCGGAACUCAGCCAUGCUUCUGUGUGGUGCACUUUCUGGUGGACGGGCCAGCAUCAAUUUCGACCGUUGGAAAAAGGCCUAGGGAAUGUGGCACCUUUGGGUGUGUUAUAGCCCUUGGUCGCAUACAGCGGUUGGGAUUGAGGAUCUCAGCACGCCUUCAUGGUCGGGGUUCGCCCACGUCCGUGCUUAGGAUGCUGGCGUAAUGGCUUUAAACGACCCGUCUUGAAACACGGACCAAGGAGUCUAACAUGCCUGCGAGUGUUUGGGUGGAAAACCCGAGCGCGCAAUGAAAGUGAAAGUUGGGAUCCCUGUCGUGGGGAGCACCGACGCCCGGACCAGACCUUCUGUGACGGAUCCGCGGUAGAGCAUGUAUGUUGGGACCCGAAAGAUGGUGAACUAUGCCUGAAUAGGGUGAAGCCAGAGGAAACUCUGGUGGAGGCUCGUAGCGAUUCUGACGUGCAAAUCGAUCGUCAAAUUUGGGUAUAGGGGCGAAAGACUAAUCGAACCAUCUAGUAGCUGGUUCCUGCCGAA